rnacentral:rRNA from 1 species
GAUGAACGCUAGCGGCAGGCUUAAUACAUGCAAGUCGAGGGGUAACAUGGUAGCAAUACUGAUGACGACCGGCAAACGGGUGCGGAACACGUACAGAACCUUCCUUUAAGCGGGGAAUAGCCCGGAGAAAUCCGGAUUAAUACCCCAUAGUAUUGUUGGGUGGCAUCACUUAAUAAUUAAAGAUUUAUCACUUAAAGAUGGCUGUGCGGCUGAUUAGGUAGUUGGUAGGGGUAACGGCCCACCAAGCCAUCGAUCAGUAACUGGUGUGAGAGCACGACCAGUCACACGGGCACUGAGACACGGGCCCGACUCCUACGGGAGGCAGCAGUAAGGAAUAUUGGUCAAUGGACGCAAGUCUGAACCAGCCAUGCCGCGUGAAGGAUGAAGGCCCUCUGGGUUGUAAACUUCUUUUAUCUGGGACGAAACCCAUCCAUUAUU